ensembl:lncRNA
GUAUAAAGUUAACUACCUGAUUGGUCUGUCCAGUAAUACAGGUAUAAAGUUAACUACCUGAUUGGUCUGUCCAGUAAUACAGGUAUAAAGUUAACUACCUGAUUGGGUCUGACAUUUUGUCUGUGAAUGUAAUUUGGAACAGACUGUGAACCACUUCCUACUUUGAUUGUACCUGUUUCCUGUCCUGCCUGUUCCUUGUAAUUCUACUUCCUGUUCAAGCUAACUCCACCUACAAUGAAGCAAAAAAUUUGAAACUUUCUAAAUGUGUUUUACUCUGAAGGGAAGUGUUGUCUUGGUGUGUGUACAUUUUAAAUAUGUAUUGGUAUUAUCAGAGGCCCGCUGGGCACAGACGUCAAUUCAACGUCUCUUCCACGUUGGUUCAACGUCAUUUAGUUGAAAUGACGUGUAAACAACGUUGAUUCAACCAAUGUGAAGCACUUUUAAGGAGUGUGAUCUGUUUCAUCAGAGAGCUUCCUCAAGUCUUCCUUUCUCCUCUCAGUGUGUUGUUUGUAAAUAUUCAUACUGUAAAUUCGUUUUAAUGGACGGUGGUGUUAUUUAGUUGACGGUACAGCUGUUUUCUGCAUGUUAAACGUGGACAUGUCCAGCAUGACUAUGCAUCGAUCUGUAGACAUCACAGUGCACUACUGUCUUUGUACAGAACAAGUAAUAGUGGGAUUGGAUGAAAUACAGUACAUAGAGAGUACAAUACAGUAUGUAGACAGUACAAUACAGUAUGUAGACAGUACAAUACAUAGACAGUACCAUACAGUACAAUACAGUACAUAGACAGUACAAUACAAUACAUAGACAGUACCAUACAGUACAUAGAGAGAACAAUACAGUAUGUAGACAGUACAAUACAGUACAAUACAGUACAUAGACAGUACAAUACAAUACAUAGACAGUACCAUACAGUACAUAGAGAGAACAAUACAGUAUGUAGACAGUACAAUACAGUACAAUACAAUACAUAGACAGUACCAUACAGUACAAUACAGUACAUAGACAGUACAAUACAAUACAUAGAGAGAACAAUACAAUACAUAGACAGUACAAUACAGUACAUAGACAGUACAAUACAAUACAUAGUACCAUACAGUACAAUACAGUACAUAGACAGUACAAUACAAUACAUAGACAGUACCAUACAGUACAAUACAGUACAUAGACAGUACAAUACAGUACAUAGACAGUACAAUACAGUACAUAGAGAGAACAAUACAGUAUGUAGACAGUACAAUACAGUACAAUACAGUACAUAGACAGUACAAUACAAUACAUAGACAGUACAUAGAGAGUACAAUACAGUACAUAGACAGUACAAUACAAUACAUAGACAGUACCAUACAGUACAAUACAGUACAUAGACAGUACCAUACAGUACAAUACAGUACAUAGACAGUACAAUACAGUACAUAGAGAGAACAAUACAGUAUGUAGACAGUACAAUACAGUACAUAGACAGUACAAUACAGUACAAUACAGUACAUAGACAGUACCAUACAGUACAAUACAGUACAUAGACAGUACAAUACAAUACAUAGAGAGAACAAUACAGUACAUAGAGAGUACAAUACAGUACAUAGACAGUACAAUACAAUACAUAGUACCAUACAGUACAAUACAGUACAUAGACAGUACAAUACAAUACAUAGACAGUACCAUACAGUACAAUACAAUACAUAGACAGUACAAUACAAUACAUAGACAGUACCAUACAGUACAAUACAAUACAUAGACAGUACAAUGCUGUACAUAUACAGUACAAUACAGUACAUUGACAGAACAAUACAGUACAUACAGUAUACAUAAAAUGUGCAAUACAGUACAAUACAGUACAUAGACAGUAAAAUAUAGUACAUAGACAGUAAAAUACAGUACAUAGACAGUACAAUAAGUACAAUGCAGUACAUAGACUGUACAAUACAAUACAUAAUUAGUACAAUACAGUACAUACAGUAUACAUAAAAUGUGCAAUACAGUACAAUACAGUACAUAGAGAGUACAAUACAGUAUGUAGACAGUACAAUACAGUACAUAGAGAGUACAAUACAGUAUGUAGACAGUACAAUACAGUACAUAGACAGUACAAUACAGUACAUAGACAGUACAAUACAAUACAUAGACAGUACCAUAUAGUACAAUACAGUACAUAGACAGUACAAUACAGUACAUAGACAGUACAAUACAAUACAUAGACAGUACCAUAUAGUACAAUACAAUACAUAGACAGUACCAUAUAGUACAAUACAAUACAUAGACAGUACCAUAUAGUACAAUACAGUACAUAGACAUACAUAGACAGUACAAUACAGUACAUAGACAGUACAAUACAAUACAUAGACAGUACCAUAUAGUACAAUACAAUACAUAGACAGUACCAUAUAGUACAAUACAAUACAUAGACAGUACCAUAUAGUACAAUACAAUACAUAGACAGUACCAUAUAGUACAAUACAAUACAUAGACAGUACCAUAUAGUACAAUACAAUACAUAGACAGUACCAUAUAGUACAAUACAGUACAUAGACAGUACAAUACAGUACAUAGACAGUACAAUACAAUACAUAGACAGUAC